rnacentral:rRNA from 1 species
UACAGAGGUCUCAAGCGUUGUUCGGAUUCAUUGGGCGUAAAGGGGUGCGUAGGCGGCGCGGUAAGUCGGGUGUGAAAUCUCGGAGCUUAACUCCGAAACUGCAUUCGAUACUGCCGUGCUUGAGGACUGGAGAGGAGACUGGAAUUUACGGUGUAGCGGUGAAAUGCGUAGAUAUCGUAAGGAAGACCAGUGGCGAAGGCGGGUCUCUGGACAGUUCCUGACGCUGAGGCACGAAGGUCAGGGGAGCAAACGGG